CAUAGCGACUAUCGUGGCAUAUCAAUAAGCGGAGGAAAAGAAACUAACUAGGAUUCCCUCAGUAACGGCGAGUGAAGCGGGAAGAGCUCAAAUUUGAAAUCUUCAAGGUUUUACCUUGACGAAUUGUAGUUUAAAGAAGUGUUUUCUGUUGGAGUUUUGGUAAAAGUUCUUUGGAAUAGGACAUCAUAGAGGGUGAGAAUCCCGUAUUUGACCAUUAUUUCCAGCUGUGUGAUACACUUUCAAAGAGUCGGAUUGUUUGGGAAUGCAGUCCAAAAUGGGUGGUAAAUUUCAUCUAAAGCUAAAUAUUGGCGAGAGACCGAUAGCGAACAAGUACCGUGAGGGAAAGAUGAAAAGAACUUUGAAAAGAGAGUUAAACAGUACGUGAAAUUGUCAAAAGGGAAGCGUUUGACACCAGUGUUGUUUUCUCGAAAAUCAAUUAAAAAUGAUGGGAUUUUGUGUUGUAUUGACUUUAUCAGCUUUCUGCACUUUUUUCUUAUCUUUUUUAAUGCACUUUUCGUUUAACAAGUCAACAUCAAUUUCUUUUGUUGUAAAAGAGUCAUUGGAAGGUGGCUUUUUCUUCGGAAAAAGUGUUUAUAGCCCUUUGGCUUCUGCAAUCGGAGAGAUUGAGGUCUGCAGCGUAGAUCCUUCGGGGUUAGAUACAUUUGUGCUAAGCUAUAGUUCUUUAUAGACAACUUGUUGACUAUAAUCAAUCCUGUAACUUACUCGCUUAUGCUAUUUUACCUACGCUUAGGAUGUUGAUAGUCACAGCGUGUAC
rnacentral:rRNA from 1 species